rnacentral:rRNA from 1 species
CCUACGGGCGGCAGCAGUGAGGAAUAUUGGUCAAUGGGCGCUAGCCUGAACCAGCCAAGUAGCGUGAAGGAUGACUGCCCUAUGGGUUGUAAACUUCUUUUAUAUGGGAAUAAAGUGCAGUAUGUAUACUGCUUUGCAUGUACCUUAUGAAUAAGCAUCAGCUAACUCCGUGCCAGCAGCCGCGGUAAUACGGAGGAUGCGAGCGUUAUCCGGAUUUAUUGGGUUUAAAGGGUGCGUAGGCGGGUUGUUAAGUCAGUUGUGAAAGUUUGCGGCUCAACCGUAAAAUUGCAGUUGAUACUGGCAGCCUUGAGUACAGUAGAGGUAGGCGGAAUGCGUGGUGUAGCGGUGAAAUGCUUAGAUAUCACGAAGAACUCCGAUUGCGAAGGCAGCCUGCUGGACUGUAACUGACGCUGAGGCUCGAAAGUGUGGGUAUCAAACAGGAUUAGAUACCCUGGUAGUC